CUGGUCCUUGGGCCAGACUGAGGACCCCUGAGAGGCCCUGCUGAGCGAGGUGGCACCAUGGACUGAGCGACCCACACACAGGAGCUGGCGAAGGAAUGCCACGUUGACCCAUCACCUUGGCUGCAGAUGGCCUCCCUCCUGUGAUCAGACUCUGAGCAUCUCACCUGAUACAUGCUUCAUGCUGACACUCAGGCCCAGACUUUGGUCCCACACUGAGUCCCAACUUUGACCUCAGCCUGAGACACAACCUGGUUAUUGUCCUGGUAGAGACAGUUCCCCGAAUCCAGCCUCUGCCCAAACCCUCCUCCUAGACAUGGCUGAGCCCUAAUUUUGAUACAAAAUACUUGAAUUCAUCUUCAGAUUCAGUUCUGAUCCUAUACUGAACUAACUGAACACUACCAGGGAUCUGACUCCCUGAUAUUCGCUGGCGUCUCCCUGCGUGUUCUGAACCUAUGCUGACCAGCACCAGAAGGGUUCAGAGGGGUGAUUUCUUGCCUUGGGAUGAGAGAGCAAUGUUAGGGAUGACCAGCAGAGGGCGUGCAACAUCAGGUUCUAGAGGCAAGCGUCCAAGAGCCCACCUGUGAGCUAAAAAAAUUAAAGUUCUCGUUUUUGACACCAAAACUUUGGGGUUAUGUGGGUUCUUACAGUCAUGAAUCUUCUCCUUCUGGCUCACCUGGGCUCAGCACUGGGUAUGCACAGAAUGUGCUUAACUGUUUACUGGCAUCUCAGGUCUCAAGAGGACUGAAGUCACCCCACCCCCAAAUCAGCAUUUCUGUCACAUGCUUAAUACAGCUCCACUGCCUUCCUGGUAACCAGUUAUGUUUGGUCCUAUUGAGCAGAAAUCUGCCUCUCCACAGUGUUCACAUUUCAUCUUAGCCCUGUCCUUGGGACCACACUGACCUCAUUGGUCCAUCUGCCAAACAUCACCAUCUGCAUCCUUCAAAUCUGCUUCUCUCCAGGACCCAUGCCUUCAUGGACUCAUCCCCUGCCUUUCUCAAUUCUACUCACUAAGAUCAUGUUUCCCUGAAUGGGUUUCAGUUUGUGGUGCCCAGUUAUGAUUAGCUUUUUCCAGGAGAGCUGGUGCAGGGUACGAAUGAGCCGGCCUGCCUCCCUCCUCUGACUCUGAACUUCUUUCCACAUAGGCUCAGAUUACAUCAGUUUUUUCUGUGGUUGUUGUUUUGUUUUUCUUUUGAGAUGGAGUCUCGCCCUGUUGCCUAGGCUGGAGUGCAAUGGUGUGAUCUCGGCUCACUGCAACCUUUGCCUCCUGGGUUCAAGCAAUUCUUCUGCCUCAGCCUCCUGAGUAGCUGGAACUACAGGUGUGCACCACCACACCUGGCUAAUUUUUGCAUUUUUAGUAGAGACAGG
rnacentral:lncRNA from 10 species